rnacentral:tRNA from 1 species
GGAGAGGUGGCAGAGUGGUUGAAUGCACCGCACUCGAAAUGCGGCAUACGGGCGACCGUAUCGGGGGUUCAAAUCCCUCCCUCUCCGCCA